CUGGCAGUUGGGAGGCAGCCAUUUUGAGCAGAGGGUGUUGUGAUGGGCUGUUCCUGUAAACCUAGUGAUUUUCCUGGUUUCUGUCAGGCGACUGGGGACAGAAAAGUGAGUAGCUGUGAGAAGAAGUACAGCCAUCAGUGAAGCUACAUGUCAGGGCUGCUGAUCACUCCCUGGAGACCUCCCAGCACUGUGUGAGUGACAGAAUAGAGAAGUGCGGCCUAGGCAGACUGAGGCGGACCUUUUCUCACUUAGAGGAUGGCUGUUCUCCCAUCUCAGGAACUGGGAGCUGUCUACAAGCAUGGAGCCUUUCACUGAGGACAUUUGGAUGCUCAUGAUCAAGGCUGGUGUGGCUACACAGCAGGUCAUGGCAGAUGAAAAAAGUGAUCAGGUGAUUUUGGUUAUCCAAACAAAUUUUGGCUACUCACCCCAUUAUCCGAUCCGGAAGGCACUGCUGAGAAAAAGUACCAAGCAACGCACAUAGCAUCGAGGGGUAUUAUAGAGAAAAUCUUCGGUGUGCUUAAAUCCUGCUUCCGGUGUUUAGACCGGUCCGGGGGUACGCUGCAAUAUUCCCUGUCAAAGGUUUGCAACAUUGUAAAUGCAAGCUGCAUCCUGCAUAAUAUAUGUGUCGCCAACCGUUUGACGGAGAAUAUAGAUCUUGGUGUUUGGCCGGAUUCGAACAUUUGUCUAGCAGUGCCGGAAGGUAUGAAUGGAGGAGGUAUUUCCCGUCGCCGCGAUCAAUGGCAAAUCCUAAUUGAUUCAGUCUUUUCUGGAGAACCCCCUUACUGGCUUAUCCCUGUCAACCCACCAUCCAACUCUGUCUGGGUGUGCUGAAGGGCCAUGGUUGAAGAUGACUUACCUGGAUUCCUGGUGUCUGGUUUCUUUCCAGCUUGUUUCCUCUCCUGGACUCUCGUAUCCCAUUGGUAGUGGGGUCUCCUGUUGAACUGUGGAGGACCCCCUACUGGCUUAUACUUGUGGACUGUCAACACACCAUCCCACUCUGCCUGGGUGUGCUGUAGGACCAUGGUUGAAGAUACUUACCUGGAUCCAUGGUGUCCGGUCUCUUUCCAUCUUGUUUCCUCUACUGGACUGUCCCGUGCUUCAGGACCCCCUACUGGCUUAUCCUUGUGGACUGUCAACCCACCGUCCCACUCUGCCUGGAUGUGCUGUAGGGCCAUGGUUGAAGAUGACUUACCUGGAUCCUUGGUGUCCGGUCUCUUUCCAGCUUGUUGCCUCUCCCGGACUCUCCCGUGUUGGAUCUGGAAAAACUCCCUAAAAUCUGAAUUUCACCAGGCAGAAAGUUUGUCUACCUUGACCAUCUUGCUGUGGACUGUUGCUAGCCUGUCCCAAAAGUUCAAACACAAUUUUUAUUGGCUUAACUUAUUUUACUGGCUGUAUAUUAAAGAAAAAAGAAGUUGGAUGAACCCACUGUUUUUUUUAUUAUAGAUAUAACUUGUCAACUGUAAUUUUUAAUACACACAUAUUCAACAGCCAAAAUGAGUCAGUGAAAAAGUGCAAUCACAUGGUUAUACAAAAGUCCACAAACUUUUCUUUGUUAAAAGUGUUGUUGUUGUUGUUGUUGUUCUGUAGUUUUUUUGUAAUGAUCCUGUAAAAAUGAGUGAAAAAAUAAAAUUGAGUUCAAAA